AUGGAAGGAGCACGGUGCCACGUAGCCAGGCAGUGUUUGCUGAACUUUUUCUGGCUUGCAUGUGCAGUCCAAAUUUCAAAUAUUUCCAAGAAAUUGCCUCUACAAAUGCAAGACAUAAUAAUGAAACAACAAGGAUUGAAAACUACUUGGAAAUGUCCAGGCAGCAGCUUCAUGGCUCUGAGCAGCAAUAAGUACAACAGUGCAGAACUGAGUGCUGACCACAGAAAUGCUGCCAACACAAAACUGUGCAGCAGGACAGCCACAGCUGUGCACCGGGAGUCUGCAGGAGGAUCCACCACGUCACAGGUGAGUGAGGUGGAACUGGCAUCAUAAGGGAGGUAUUGCUGGUAGCAUCUGGUGGUAUCGUCACUGCACUUCCUGGAAGUUUAAUUUUCAGUUCCAGAGAUGAAGGUGAUUUUAAAAAUGAGCAGAGAAAAGCAGAGAUCACUAACAUCCACUUUACAGAUAAGUUUCAAAUUUUCCUAUUGAUAGAGAUAUGUUUAGGAGAAAAAAGGAAGAAAAAAAUGAGAAAAAUUGUAACAUAUUUUCUCAUUUUCAUUUAUACUAAAAGCAAGUUAGAGAGGAGAAACUUUAAUACAGAAACCAAAACAAUAAGUUGUUUGCAGAAUUACACCGUUACUCUCAGCUUAACAAAUCCAUCAGUUUUGUCUGACUUCGAUUAGAACGGAGACUAUGCAGCACCUUUUAGGACUGGGCCUUGACUGACAGCAGUUUGGGAUACAUUUUAAUUUUUCCCCUCUGUUCUUUUUGGAAUCCUUUUCUUCAGUAUUAGGAGGUGAGGUAGCAUAAAACAAGUACUUCUAACUGUUCUCCAAAGUGCAAGAGAAUAAUAAAGCUCCAUUUCCAAACUUUGUUUUAUCUCUG
rnacentral:lncRNA from 1 species